UAUCUGGUGGAAAGAUUUGAGCUGAUUGCAACCACAGGAAAAAAUGCUAAAACGCAUGUA
rfam:Bacteroidetes bacterium RBG_13_43_22 RBG_13_scaffold_5169, whole genome shotgun sequence.